rnacentral:rRNA from 1 species
GUAGGUGGCAAGCGUUGUCCGGGAUUAUUGGGCGUAAAGCGCGCGCAGGCGGUCCUUUAAGUCUGAUGUGAAAGCCCACGGCUCAACCGUGGAGGGUCAUUGGAAACUGGGGGACUUGAGUACAGAAGAGGAAAGCGGAAUUCCAAGUGUAGCGGUGAAAUGCGUAGAGAUUUGGAGGAACACCAGUGGCGAAGGCGGCUUUCUGGUCUGUAACUGACGCUGAGGCGCGAAAGCGUGGGGAGCAAACAGGGAUUAGAUACCCUGGUAGUCCACGCCGUAAACGAUGAGUGCUAAGUGUUAGGGGGUUUCCCGCCCCCUUAGUGCUGCAGCUAACGCAUUAAGCACUCCGCCUGGGGAGUACGGCCGCAAGGCUG